GUGCUCGCUUUGCAGCACAGAUACUAACUUGGAAGAUACAGAGAACUCAGCAUGGCCCCGCGCAGGAUGACACGCAAAUUCGUGUGAAGCAUUCCAUAUUUUU
rnacentral:snRNA from 1 species